GGGUCAAUGAGUCAAUGGUCGAAAUUAAUUAUGUAAUGUGGUCACAUGUAGCUGAAACACUUUAGACAUAGUUGUACUGUACUAUACUGUUUAUAUGAAUGUAUUACUUAUGUAUACAUGUAUAUAUUAUCAAAUCUAUAUGACUAUAUCUAAAUGUCUAUACACGCUAUAGCUGUCCUUAACCAGUUAUUUAAUGUUUAAUAUUGAACCCUCCUUGCAAAGUUGAUGUCUAAUUCCCUAAUGGCCCAAUUUAAUUUAAAGGGAAAUAAAGGGAGGCGGUCCAUAAUGGACUUAGAAAUUUACAAAGUUGUCCGAGAUAGUGUUAUGAUCAGUCAGCCGAGCUGCAAUGAAGCCGAGAUAAUAACAGCAGUUUCGGCUCAUCUAAAAUAUGAGCCGGACAGAAGAGGGACCAAUAAAGUACAUGUACAGUUUUAAUUUGUUUAUUACAUGUCAUAUUUUAUUAUAAUCUUUAUAAGCCAAUUUAAGUUCUUUUAUCAUCCAUUUAAUUUUAUUUUAUUUUCUAUGUGCGAUGUCCACAAAAAGUUAACUGCGCCAUUGAGCAUUGAGUGUUUUAUAUUGGUAAUAGGCGCAUUAUAAAUAAUAAAUUAUUAUUAUUAUUACAGUACCAAUUGCAUUAAAAUUACU